rnacentral:rRNA from 1 species
AUUGAACGCUGGCGGCAUGCCUUACACAUGCAAGUCGAACGGCAGCGGGGGAGAAGCUUGCUUUUCCUGCCGGCGAGUGGCGAACGGGUGAGUAAUACAUCGGAACGUGCCCUGUAGUGGGGGAUAACUAGUCGAAAGAUUAGCUAAUACCGCAUACGACCUGAGGGUGAAAGUGGGGGACCGCAAGGCCUCAUGCUAUAGGAGCGGCCGAUGUCUGAUUAGCUAGUUGGUGGGGUAAAGGCCUACCAAGGCGACGAUCAGUAGCUGGUCUGAGAGAACGGUCAGCCACACUGGGAAUGAGACACGGCCCAGACUCCUACGGGAGGAAGGAGUGGGGAAUUUUGGACAAUGGGCGAAAGCCUGAUCCAGCAACUCCGCGUGUGUGAAGAAGGCCUUCGGGUUGUAAAGCACUUUUGUCCGGAAAGAAAUGGCUCUGGUUAAUACCUGGGGUCGAUGACGGUACCGGAAGAAUAAGGACCGGCUAACUACGUGCCAGCCGCCGCCGUAA